GCACGCUCUCUGAAUGAGUGGCUGUGGCAGCAUGAGUUCUGGCUGCCCCCAGGAAUCACCUGGCAGGACAUGCAAGAGUCUGAAGACGUCCAUUACCCUCAGCCUCGUGGUCUCCUGCUCAGUAUCCUUUUGCUUUAAUCCUGGUUGUCAUUCGAUGUGCCUUUGAAAGUCGUUACUGUUCCAUGUUCAGUUCAUCCUGGAGAAGAAAGCUUCCCCUAGCGAAUGGGAGGUAGGAAUCAAGUCCUCCAUUGCUCCGUUGCCUUGUAUGUACAGUGGCGCUAGCCCUGUUUAAAAUAAUUUGCACAAAGUUUGAGAAUUGCAGACUGAAAGGAUGCAUGUGUUAUUUCUCAUUCUCCAUGUAGAUGGCCUUGACUUUGUAGCUUUGUACAUCUGGUCUGUGGGUCAAAAUGCAUGUACGUAACUAGUAUACAGGUUUGGGUUUGGUGGUUUUAGCUUGGCCCCUGGCAAUUUAUUCUGCCCUCACCUAUUACUUGCAACUGUGCAUUGGGUGCAUUGGGUGCAAAGCAUUUUUUUCUCUAGAUAAUGCUCUGUGUUCCUGGUGCUGCCUGCUCUGGGAUUUCAGAGGUAUGUUCGUGUCAUUUAUCUGUGUCAGAACUCCGGGAAAAUACUAAGAGGCAGAAGAAGCCCAGAGGAUUUUCUGCAAUCCCUCAUUCAGCAGCUGCAUCAGCCACCGUGUUUGGCCACUGGUUCCCUCUUCUUGGUUUGGAGAUUAAACCUGGGAAAGACCCCGCUUCCUCGAGCAUGGAUUUUCCUCUCCUUGGCACCUGCUGGCUGAACUGGGAAAAACUGAGACAGCGACAUCCUUUUAACCACCAGUUAUUCCGUGGAUUAGGCGGUGGCUGUGGGAAGAGGACGUGCGGUAGCUGGGUGGGGCCUGGGAGAGUGGAGGAGGUUGUGGGUGCAGCCCUGGGGGAGAAGAAACAGCUCACGCUUCGGUGAAGCAACUCUUCUGUGAGCCAGCUAGGACUACCCCUUGGGACUGGAACCCCAGCCCCCUGCUCACACAUCCUUGGGUGAGCUGCUCAGUUUAGCCAAGCGGUGCGACCUGCCGGUGAGGAAGGUGGAGAGUUGGUUCCGGCGCCGGAGGAACACAGACCGACCUAGCCUGUCGAAGAAGUUUUGCGAGGCCUGGUGAGCGGGAGCACAAGCCAUGAGCAGCAGGGGCCUUUCACCGGAGCUGAGCUCCGCAGGCAGCUCGCUGCCUCCCAGCCUGCCCUCCACCCCAUGCAGAGAGCAUCCCACCUCCCCUGCCUCCCAACCUGCCCUCCACCCCAUGCAGAGAGCAUCCCACCUCCCCUGCCUCCCAACCUGCCCUGUACCCCUACACAGAGAGCAUCCUGGGUCUUCCUUGCCCCACCUGGUUCUUCUGCAACUCUGCUGCUUCUCUGUUACUGAAACAUGCCUUGCUUUCCCCCUUUAUUUUCACUCCCAAGUCACCUUUUACUCCUGUCUCACCUUUAUUCCUUAUAGGGCUUCUGUUUCUGACUUUGUAAGACUGGCAUUCUGCUUUGAAACAUAAUUGUACCUGAACAACUCCCUCCUGUUUUGCAUCUUACUGCUUCUUGCUGCUUUUCAAAACUCCCAGGCAGCGGGCUAGAUUGUAUUCUGCUCUCAGUUGACUUCAGCGUCCUGAAAGUCAAAAACCAGCACCCUUUUAUAGUGGCAGAAAAAGGGGCCUGUGUGAAAGCUUGUGUUUUGCAAAGAGCAAAACUCUUUUUGGAAACAGCUGUGUGGAAAUCCUCUCUAUUAUGUGGAGGCACAAAAUAAAUCUCACAUCAGCCAGUUCUGUGAAUGUUAGUCCUGGCUUAAGCUUUCCACAGUAAAGGAGGAUUCUCCUGAGCUUGGUUGACAUGUCUUACUUAUGAGUGGCUGCUCUGCUAUUCGUGUAAGGACGUAGGUUCUCCCAGGAAAGCCACGGAUAUGAAAGAAAUCAUUAAAUACCUGCAGUGCUAUUCAUCUGUCUAAAAGUGUGUCUCCAUAGGGUAGGCAUGAACUCUGAGCGAAUCACCUUGUGCUCCGUUUGACACUCAACCUCUAAUUCAACCCCUGCCCAAAACCCCUAAUUGAAAAAGAAAAAAGAAAAAAAAACCCUGAUGUGUAUUAUUUAUUUAUAAUAUUCCAGAUAGUUGCAGUUAGAAAUAUUUACAAAAUCUGUGGACAAGGGAGUUGUAAAGCAACCAUGCUUAAUCUGCUUCCCUCAAGAUGAAAUCUGAGUUCUCCCUGCACUCAGCUGAGUCGCAGUAAAUAGUAACAGUAAAUAGUAAACAGUAAAUUUCUUUUCCGACUCAGCUCACCUAGGAUGGUGUCCUUCCACCCGCCCUCUAUCACCAUGUGCAGUCUGUAGAAAGAAUGUCUUUCCGAUGUGUUGUAGCAGCAUUGUACAGUUUCUGUCUGUCUUGGAGCUCCGGGGGGUUUCACUGACAGGUGGAGUCUCCCUCUCUCUCAAAAUGUGGUUACUUCUGAUUUGUUCUGGAGAUUUUUGGAAAUUAAAGGACCGGUUUAGACA